rnacentral:rRNA from 1 species
CAGUAGCCGCGGUAAUACGAAAGGGGCUAGCGUUGCUCGGAAUGACUGGGCGUAAAGGGCGCGUAGGCGGCGAUCAAAGUCAGGCGUGAAAGCCCCGGGCUCAACCUAGGAAUUGCAUUUGAUACUGUUUGGCUUGAGUUCGGGAGAGGUGAGUGGAAUUCCCAGUGUAGAGGUGAAAUUCGUAGAUAUUGGGAAGAACACCAGUGGCGAAGGCGGCUCACUGGACCGACACUGACGCUGAGGCGCGAAAGCGUGGGGAGCAAACAGGAUUAGAUACCCGCGUAGUCCCUGUCUCUUAUAC